rnacentral:rRNA from 1 species
AUUGAACGCUGGCGGCAGGCCUAACACAUGCAAGUCGAAUGGUAACAGGAAACCGCUUGCUGUUUCGCUGACGAGUGGCGGACGGGUGAGUAAUGUCUGGGAAACUGCCUGAUGGAGGGGGAUAACUACUGGAAACGGUAGCUAAUACCGCAUAACGUCGCAAGACCAAAGAGGGGGACCUUCGGGCCUCUUGCCAUCAGAUGUGCCCAGAUGGGAUUAGCUAGUAGGUGGGGUAACGGCUCACCUAGGCGACGAUCCCUAGCUGGUCUGAGAGGAUGACCAGCCACACUGGAACUGAGACACGGUCCAGACUCCUACGGGAGGCAGCAGUGGGGAAUAUUGCACAAUGGGCGCAAGCCUGAUGCAGCCAUGCCGCGUGUAUGAAGAAGGCCUUCGGGUUGUAACGUACUUUCAGCGGGGAGGAAGGGAGUAAAGUUAAUACCUUUGCUCAUUGACGUUACCCGCAGAAGAAGCACCGGCUAACUCCGUG